UGCGCGUGGACAGGUAACGCGGUUUGUCUGUUCACCUGCUGCUUUUGGCUCAUGUGGCAGGGAGUUAAUAUUUGUGUGUCAUGCAAAGCGGCUGACUUGGGGCUUCCAGAGACUCCUGUGUGUGUGUCACCUAGAUGGCCCGCUGCGUUGCUGAGGUCCGGUGGUGGUGGUAACCUGGUGGCGCCAGUUGAUCAGUUUCAGUUCUACACUUCCUGGAAAACAUCUCCAGCUCUUCAACAUUCUUGUUGGCAGCAGGAACAGCAUACUCUGCAGGCCGCAGUGCGGAUGGUUCCAGAAGAAACCAACACUGCCUCUACACUGGCUAACAGACCUGCUGGUGUGACAGUUGACACCAUGGCAUGGAAGACGCCAAGUUGUUGAUCACUAACCCUAACCCAGCUGGUCAAAAAGAGGUGAUGUUUUGCAUUUGAGAAUUUUAUGUUCUUUUUAUCCUGUAAAACAUUAUAUUCCUCACCUUAAACAAAGUGAAAAGAGGAUCUCUCCUGACAUGCUCUCUGGCAUUAAUGCUUAAAGUGCCCAGCUUUAUGUAACACAUUAACAAUGAUGCUGCAUAAGUAUUUGGGAUUUAAGUUUUUGCAUUAGUUUUUUGAGAUGUUAAAAAAAAAAAUCUCAUGCCUUUUGCAUCUUGUACAAAAGACCAGAUUCUGUUGAAGGACUAAACUCCCCAUAUCCCCGUGUCUUUCCAGUUAGAUCAUUUUUACUUUCCUGCAUGAUCAUUUAACUGUCCUCUGACUGACACUUCACAACACACACAACACACCUGAAUUGUAUUCUGUAUUUUUCCUUUUGAAGUCACUGUUCCAUUUGUUUUUUAGCUUUUUCCUUUUCAAACUUCAUUAUCAAUCCAGACUUCUUCAUCAGACAACACUGACUCCACCACUUAAGUCGCAAUGUGACUAAUAUUUUCCUUGAACUCUGACUUGUUAGACCUAUUGUGACUUUGUUCUCCUGAUCAUUGCUGUUUGCCUCCAGUGAAUCCUACAUCUUUCUCUGUGAUUCAGCCAGCCGAGAGGCUCUGCUGUCUGCUCAGGAAUGGGGCAGCUCCACCGGCUCUUUCUAAGCAAGGACGAAACAAAGCUAAUUUUUCAGCAACGGGAAAAUUAGAGAAUUUACUUUUUAGCAGGGCUAACUAGUGAUGACACGUCCGUGACAUUAUAUUUAAUAACUACUAGGCUCUCAAGCAGCUGAUUGACUUUCUCUGGAUUGUCUAGAAAAAUCACGUCAGUUCUGUUCAUUCUGGUUGCAGAUUUCAUUCAGAUUCAACACUUUCAUACCCAAUACAGCGGUGCUGUUCCAACAUACUGUGAUUUUUGAUGCAUAAAUAAAGCUGUAUUCACAAUCUCUCUCUAUAUAUAUCUAUAUCUAUAGAUAUAGAUAUAUAGUCUAUGAGGUAUGAAGCCAAACACAAGCUGAAAGAAUCUUAUAAAAAGAUCAGAUGGCCAUUGCUUAGCAGAUGAGAAACUUCCAUCGUCUUUUGUCAAAUAAGUGAUAAUACUAUACACAGAAUUUUGUUCAAAGUGAGAAAAGGUGUAUAAUGUCUGUCUUAAAUUUCAUAAACUAUUUGAUAUUCAAAGCUCAUACGAUGUUGUAGGUGAUAGUUUGUACAUUACACCAUACCAUUUACAAUGUUUUAAAUAAACGGUACUUUUGAAAAUAUUUUUUGUUGUAAUGAAUUCCUCCAAUUAACAUUUUUUUUCCAGUGUGGAUAGCCUGACACUUUAGGGAGUGAAACUAACACUACCCAAAUAGUAAAAGAAGUGUUAUUUGUCUCAUCCUUUAGUGUUACUUGCGAAUUGAAGGAUGAACUCUGUCACAGUGUUAAGUGUUUAUUUUAUGUGUUAAGUGUUAAUUUAACUCUUUAGAGUGUAGAAACCUGAAAAAGUGUUGACACUUUUUGCUGUGUACCCUUGGGUUUCCUGCUCCUUUGAUGUGCAUGUCACGGCCCUGGCCAUGUCACAGGUUUCCUUGUUUCCUUUUUUCUUGUCCUCUGUUUCUCCCCCUCCCCCUGUCUGGGCCUGUGUGAUUGUGCUGUGGGCGUGGCAACUCCCUCACUCUCCUGGGUCCCUGAUCGCUGUGAUUCAACUCACCUGCUCCCUGCUGCUCACCUGACAUCCAUCCAGUAAUCAACCCUGCAGUAUAAAACACCGGCUCUCCUCUCCAGUCUUCGCCAGAUCGUUGUCUACCAGUGUCACGUCACGUUAGAGGCCGCCUUGGAAUUGUGUAUUCCACUUCAGCUUGUUGUGUUUGUGAGAACUGACUUUGUCUUUUUCCCUGUCUCAGGAUCACCGCCUGCCUGCCUGCCAUCACUUCCAGCCAACUCAAACCCCUCCCAGCCUGGUUAGCUUCCCUGCCUUCAACCCACUCCCUCAGUCUCCAUUCUUUGUAA